rnacentral:rRNA from 1 species
AGGAUGAACGCUAGCGGCAGGCUUAAUACAUGCAAGUCGUGGGGCAGCACAGUGUAGCAAUACAUGGGUGGCGACCGGCAAACGGGUGCGGAACACGUACGCAACCUUCCUUUAACUGGAGAAUAGCCCGGGGAAACCCGGAUUAAUACUCCGUAACAUUAUGAGAUGGCAUCAUUUUAUAAUUAUAGCUCCGGCGGUUAAAGAUGGGCGUGCGUCUGAUUAGGUAGUUGGCGGGGUAACGGCCCACCAAGCCUACGAUCAGUAACUGGUGUGAGAGCACGACCAGUCACACGGGCACUGAGACACGGGCCCGACUCCUACGGGAGGCAGCAGUAAGGAAUAUUGGUCAAUGGACGCAAGUCUGAACCAGCCAUGCCGCGUGGAGGAUGAAGGUCCUCUGGAUUGUAAACUUCUUUUAUUUGGGAAGUAACCCCGAUUUCUAUUGGGGUUGACGGUACCAGAUGAAUAAGCACCGGCUAACUCCGCGCCAGCAGCCGCGGU